GGCCUACGGGACGCAGCAGUGGGGAAUAUUGCACAAUGGGGGAACCCCUGAUGCAGCAACGCCGCGUGAGUGAAGAAGGUUUUCGGAUUGUAAAGCUCUGUUAGCAGGGAAGAGGAAGGACGGUACCUGCGGAGGAAGCCACGGCUAACUACGUGCCAGCAGCCGCGGUAAUACGUAGGUGGCAAGCGUUGUUCGGAAUAACUGGGCGUAAAGGAUGCGUAGGCGGUUAAACAAGUUAUAUGUUAAAUAUAUAGGCUUUACCUGUAGAAAGAAUAUAAAACUGUUUAACUAGAGUGAAG
rnacentral:rRNA from 1 species